UUGUUUCUUUCCUUUUUUUCCUAUUUUUUCUUUGCCUUUCCCUCUUCUCUCUCCUUAAAAUUUUUCUUUUUUUCCCUUUUUUAUUUUUUCUUUUCCCCUUUUUCUUUUUUCCCCCUUUUCCUUUUUUUUUCUUUUUUCCCCUUGUUUUCUUUUUCUUUUUUACUUUCUUUUCUUUCUUUUUCCCUUUUCCUCCUUUUUUCUCUUUUUUUCUUUUUCUUUUUUCCCCCUUUUCCUUUUUUUUUCUUUUUUACUUUCUUUUCUUUCUUUUUCCCUUUUCCUCCUUUUUUCUCUUUUUUUUCUUUUUCUUCUUUCCCCCUUUUCUGUUUUUCCCCCUUUUUCUCCUUUUCCCCCCUUUUCCCCCCUUUUUCUCCCUUUUUCUCCUUCUCUUCUCCUCUCUUCUCUUCUCUUCUCUUCUCUUCUCUGCUCUUCUCUGCUCUUCUCUUCUCUGCUCUUCUCUGCUCUUCUCUUCUCUGCUCUUCUCUGCUCUUCUCUUCUCUGCUCUUCUCUGCUCUUCUCUUCUCUGCUCUUCUCUGCUCUUCUCUGCUCUUCUCUGCUCUUCUCUGCUCUUCUCUGCUCUUCUCUGCUCUUCUACUCUUCUCUUUUCUAUUCUUUUCCUUCCUUUUCUUUCCUUUUCUUUUCUAUCUUUUUUUCCUCUUUCUUCUCUUCUCUUCUCUUUUCUUUCUUUCUUUCUUUCUUUCUUUCUUUCUUUCUUUCUUUCUUUCUUUCUUUCUUUCUUUCUCUUUCUUUCUUUCUUUCUUUCUUUCUUUCUUUCUUUCUUUCUUUCUUUCUUUCUUUCUUUCUUUCUUUCUUUCUUUCUUUCUUUCUUUCUUUCUUUCUUUCUUUCUUUCUUUCUUUCUUUCUUUCUUUCUUUCUUUCUUUCUUUCUUUCUUUCUUUCUUUCUUUCUUUCUUUCUUUCUUUCUUUCUUUCUUUCUUUCUUUCUUUCUUUCUUUCUUUCUUUCUUUCUUUCUUUCUUUCUUUCUUUCUUUCUUUCUUUCUUUCUUUCUUUCUUUCUUUCUUUCUUUCUUUCUUUCUUUCUUUCUUUCUUUCCCCGU
rnacentral:lncRNA from 1 species